AUUGAACGCUGGCGGCAGGCCUAACAAAUGCAAGUAGAACGAGUGGCGGACGGGUAAGUAAUGUCUGGGAAACUGCAGGAUGGAGGGGGAUAACUACUGGAAACGGUAGCUAAUACAGCAUACCAUCGGAUGUUCACAUAUGGGCUUAGCUAGUAGGUGGGGUAAAGGUUAACCUAGGAGACGAGCCCUAGCUGGUCUGAGAGGAUGACCAGCCACACUGGAACUGAGACACGGUCCAGACGCCUACGGGAGGCAGCAGUGGGGAUGAUUGCACAAGGGGAGCAAGCCUGAUGCAGCCAUGCCGCGUGUAUGAAGAAGGCCUUCGGGUUGUAAAGUACUUUCAGCGGGGAGGCGUUACCCGCAGAAGAAGCACCGGCUAACUCCGUGCCAGCAGCCGCGGUAAUAC
rnacentral:rRNA from 1 species